rnacentral:rRNA from 1 species
AGUCACUGACAUUAGAUACCCGGGUAGUCCCAGCUGUAAACUAUGUGCGUUAGGUGUGUCAGUGACCACGUGUCACUGAGGUGCCGAAGGGAACCGUGAAACGCACCGCCGUGGGAGUACGGUCGCAAGGCUAGAAAACUUAAAGGAAUUGGCGGGGAGCACCACAAGAGGUGGAGGCUGCGGUUCAAUUGGACUCAACGCCGGAAAACUCAUCGGGAGCGACAGCAGUAUGAUUGCCAGGUUGAUGACCUUGCUUGACAAGCUG